rnacentral:rRNA from 1 species
GACGAACGCUGGCGGCGUGCUUAACACAUGCAAGUCGAACGGAAAGGCCCUGCUUUUGUGGGGUGCUCGAGUGGCGAACGGGUGAGUAACACGUGAGUAACCUGCCCUUGACUUUGGGAUAACUUCAGGAAACUGGGGCUAAUACCGGAUAGGAGCUCCUGCUGCAUGGUGGGGGUUGGAAAGUUUCGGCGGGUGGGGAUGGACGCGCGGCUUAUCAGCUUGUUGGUGGGGUAGUGGCUUACCAAGGCUUUGACGGGUAGCCGGCCUGAGAGGGUGACCGGCCACAUUGGGACUGAGAUACGGCCCAGACUCCUACGGGAGGCAGAAGUGGGGAAUAUUGCACAAUGGGCGGAAGCCUGAUGCAGCAACGCCGCGUGCGGGAUGACGGCCUUCGGGUUGUAAACCGCUUUCGCCUGUGACGAAGCGUGAGUGACGGUAAUGGGUAAAGAAGCACCGGCUAACUACGUG